rnacentral:rRNA from 1 species
UACGGAGGGGGCUAGCGUUGUUCGGAAUUACUGGGCGUAAAGCGCACGUAGGCGGCUUUGUAAGUUAGAGGUGAAAGCCCGGGGCUCAACUCCGGAAUUGCCUUUAAGACUGCAUCGCUCGAAUUGUGGAGAGGUAAGUGGAAUUCCGAGUGUAGAGGUGAAAUUCGUAGAUAUUCGGAAGAACACCAGCGGCGAAGGCGACUUACUGGACACAUAUUGACGCUGAGGUGCGAAAGCGUGGGGAGCAAACAGG